CCUACGGGAGGCAGCAGUGGGGAAUAUUGCACAAUGGGGGAAACCCUGAUGCAGCGACGCCGCGUGAGUGAAGAAGUAUUUCGGUAUGUAAAGCUCUAUCAGCAGAGAAGAAAUACUGACCUUACGGUCAGCAGACGGUACCUGACUAAGAAGCCCCGGCUAACUACGUGCCAGCAGCCGCGGUAAUACGUAGGGGGCAAGCGUUAUCCGGAUUUACUGGGUGUAAAGGGAGCGUAGACGGCAGCGCAAGUCUGAAGUGAAAUCCCAUGGCUUAACCAUGGAACUGCUUUGGAAACUGUGCAGCUGGAGUGCAGGAGAGGUAAGCGGAAUUCCUAGUGUAGCGGUGAAAUGCGUAGAUAUUAGGAGGAACACCAGUGGCGAAGGCGGCUUACUGGACUGUAACUGACGUUGAGGCUCGAAAGCGUGGGGAGCGAACAGGAUUAGAUACCCGAGUAGUC
rnacentral:rRNA from 1 species